rnacentral:lncRNA from 1 species
CCUAAGGUAAAGGAUGCUCACAUACCAGGGCUGCAACUCUGUGCACAGACCAAGGAAGGAGAAGCCACAGAAGCUGUUUCCCUUCCCUCAGAACUAAAAGACUUUUAGUUCUAGGUACCACCCCUAGAAUUUCCAGUACACCAGCACCAGCCUGAAAACCACGUCCUCAUCAAAAGACAGAAAGAAAAAACUUGAGCCAGCCUGGGAAGAACCCUAUUUUAUGCUGUUAACCACUGAGACUGCCAUCCGCAGAGCCAAGAAAAAAACGACCACACUCCAGUCAAGAAAACAUCUUUCUCUCAGAAUCAUGGAUGACUGUACUAGGACCAAUCCUACUAAGUUAAAGUUAAAGAAAGCUUAAUUUUCCUGUACCUUCAUAUUGCUUCCUUUCCUUAUUGUUACUAGCGCCUUUGUUAUUACUGUAACUAACUCACCUCAGACCACCGCCUUGAAUGCUUGUUCUGUCAUACCUUGCGGAAAUGUAAAAGAUCAACAACAGCUAGCCUUUUCACACAAAUGCUUACGUCCCAGCCCUCUGAUGGACAUGGUUACCCCUAGCUCUCAUUAUCGUAAUGACCUGCAGCCAAGAUGCCAAUGUUCUGCUCCUAUAGCCUGCCAACUUUGUAGUAAACGGGACUAUACACAUUCAACUGCUCAGGAGCAAAGUUAAACUUCCAAGAAAAAGGUCUGUGCAGAUCUAAAACCCCUCAUCUAUUUCACUGAAAGGACUACCCUUUCGAACUGUCAGCCUUAUCAGUGUAACCCUGUCCUUCUCUAUCACCACCUCCACCUUAACUAACUCUAGACCUGCCCUCAGUCGCUUCUGUGGUAUGGGGAUUGACAUAAAUGGAAAAGACCCCCUAGGUAUUUUUUAAAUACGCAUUAUUCCCCCAUCUCCCCCUUCUUCAGUAGCCUCAGUUCUAGAUCUCACACCGGUUGCUUCUACAUCUAAUAAUAAAACUAGGGUGUCUAUUGUAAAAAUAAGAGAUCUAAAACAGACCUUAGCCAUCGAGAGAGUAUCAAGAUGCAAAUCCCUGG